CACCAAAAGAGUUAAACACAGGGACACAUAUGAAGUCUCGGAGCCGGGUGUUGGUUCCGGUAGCGAUCGAGGGAAGUUAGUACCGAAGUCUGAGAUGGAAGAUGGCGAGAAAAGCUGUGUGUAUUUCUGCGGUGCCCGUACCGCAAACCGACACAGGUAGGUAGGAAGAAGAUUCUAAGGCCAACGGGAGAAGGGUUGUUAAGGAACUCGGCAAAUUGACCCCGUAACUUCGGGAGAAGGGGUGCUGCAGCAAUGCAGCCGCAGAGAAUCGGCCCAAGCAACUGUUUACCAAAAACACAGGUUUGUGCUAAAUCGAAAGAUGACGUAUACGAGCUGACGCCUGCCCGGUGCUGGAAGGUUAAGAGGAGAUGUGCAAGCAUUGAAUCGAAGCCCCAGUGAACGGCGGCCGUAACGAUAACGGUCCUAAGGUAGCGAAAUUCCUUGUCAGGUAAGUUCUGACCCGCAUGAAAGGCGUAAUGAUUUGGGCACUGUCUCAACAGCCCGCCCGGCGAAAUUGUAGUACCGGUGAAGAUGCCGGUUACCCGCGACAAGACGGAAAGACCCCAUGGAGCUUUACUGUAGCCUAAUAUUGGGUUUCGAUGUUGCAUGCACAGGAUAGAUGGGACAUAGGGAAGCAGGUGCUUUGGCGCUUGUGGAGUGGCCGUUGGGAUACCAUCCUUGCGAUAUUGGAAUUCUAACCUGCGCCUUUGAAUCAAGGCGGGGGACAUUGUUAGGUGGGCAGUUUGACUGGGGCGGUCGCCUCCUAAAGAGUAACGGAGGCGUUCAAAGGUUCGCUCAGCUUGAACGGAAAUCAAGCAAAAGAGUGCAAACGCAGAAGCGAGCCUAACUGCGAGACUGACGGGUCGAGCAGUAACGAAAGUUGGAGUUAGUGAUCCGGUGGUAUGUGAGUGGAAAUGCCAUCGCUCAACGGAUAAAAGUUACCCUGGGGAUAACAGGCUGAUCUCCCCCAAGAGUCCACAUCGACGGGGAGGUUUGGCACCUCGAUGUCGGCUCAUCGCAUCCUGGGGCUGUAUUCGGUCCCAAGGGUUUGGCUGUUCGCCAAUUAAAGCGGUACGCGAGCUGGGUUCAGAACGUCGUGAGACAGUUCGGUCCCUAUCUGUCGUGGGCGCAGGAUAUUUGAUGGGAGCUGUUCCUAGUACGAGAGGACCGGAGCGGACGUACCUCUGGCGCACCUGUUGUUCUGCCAAGAGCAUAGCUGGGCAACUAUGUACGGAUCGGAUAAACGCUGAAAGCAUCUAAGCGUGGAGCCGACCCAAAGAUAAGAUAUCCCAUUGUUUCAAACAAGUAAGACCCCUUGAAGACUACAAGGUUGAUAGGCACGAUGUGUAAGUGGAGUGAUCCAUUCAGCAAGCGUGUACUAAUAGGUCGAGGGCUUGACCG
rnacentral:rRNA from 1 species